UACUCCUACGGGAGGCAGCAGUAGGGAAUCUUCCACAAUGGGCGAAAGCCUGAUGGAGCAACGCCGCGUGAGUGAAGAAGGUUUUCGGAUCGUAAAACUCUGUUGUAAGGGAAGAACAAGUACAGUAGUAACUGGCUGUACCUUGACGGUACCUUAUUAGAAAGCCACGGCUAACUACGUGCCAGCAGCCGCGGUAAUA
rnacentral:rRNA from 1 species